GGCAGGGUCUAGGACCACGGCAGGGGCUGCCACAGCAGGGCCCUGCAGCGUGGGCUGGGUCCUUGUCGCUGAAACAGAGAAGCCACUUCUCUUGGGACCACAAAGCAACUGUCCCAUGCUCUACUGAGCACGGUGCCAUGCCUCUGCAAGUCCUCCUACUGCUGACCCUCUUGGGCCCUGGCAGCAGCUUCCAGCCGUGGGACACCUGGGAAGAUGUGGCCAAACAAGCCCCAGGCCACCUGUUUGCCCGGGCCCGGAGGCAGGUGGACCCUGGGGACGAUGACUUUGACAUGUACGAUGUGUCUUAUAACACAGACCCUCCAGAAAUGCUUGGAAAUGAUGACGCAGAGGCUGUGACCCCGAGCCCCAACCUCCAGGCUGUGACGGGACUACCGGGGCAGGGAGAUACUGCAGGGCCUGGUACUCCUGAGCCGGCCACUCUGGGGGGGGCCAGAGGCGAGUCUGCUGGCCCGGAUGCGGGAGGGGCAACCAUCGGGGACCUCGGCACGGAGUUUGUGACAGUGGGGAUUCCCAUCACGCCGGUCUUUCUGCCCCAAAAGCUGGUCACUUCAAUCCCUCCCAUCAUGGAGGCUUCAUCCACACAGGGGGCUCCACCCACAGAGCUGGCCUCCGUGAGUGCCCUGUUCAUGGGGCCAGCUGCCACGGAGGCUGCGACCACACAACCCGAGGCCACGGAGGCACUGUCCACAGAACCCACGGUCAUAGAGGCACUGUCCACAGAACCCACGGUCAUGGAGGCACUGUCCACAGAACCCUCAGUCAUGGAGGCACUGUCCACCCAACCUGUGGCCACAGAGGCCCUGACCACACAACCCGUGGCCACAGAGGCCCUGACCACACAACCCGUGGCCACGGAGGCCCUGACCACAACGCUAGCUGCCAUGGAGGCACUGUCCACAGCAUUAGCUGCCACAGAGGCCCCUGACACGGAGGCCCCUUCCACAGAGCCGGCUGCCACGGAGACCCUGCCCAAGGACCCAGCCACCAUGAAGGCCCCAUCCACACAACCUGCUACCCCACGGGACCUAACCACAGCCCAUCCUGUGCCCUCUGACCCCCCCGGGGGCACCGCUGUGGCGGUCAGCACUUCGUCUGGUGGCUCCAUCAAACAGCAGGAACUCAGCCAGGCGCUCUCCCCCCGGAGCCCCGUGUCCUCCAGCCCCGCCGGCGGCCUGGACUACAUCCCGGUGAAGCACUGCCUGCUGGCCAUCCUCGUGCUGGCCCUGGUGGCCACCACCUUCCUCGUGUGCACCGUGGUGCUGGCCGUCCGCCUUUCCCGCAAGAACCACAUGUACCCCGUGCGCAACUACUCGCCUACCGAGAUGGUCUGCAUCUCGGCCCUGCUGCCCGAGGGGGAGGAGGGGCCCGCCGUCACCGCCAACGGCAGCCUGCCCGCCGCCAAGAAGCCAGGCCGAAGGGAAGGGUCCGGGGAGGACCGCGAAGGGGACGACCUCACCCUGCACAGCUUUCUCCCUUAGCUCCCCUGCCCAACCGCUGGAGCAGGACCCCUGUCUCCCUGCUCCCGCCGCUGCCCUCCCGGCCACUGCCACCCACCAGGCUUGGGCCGUGCGUCUGGGCUUCAAUGAAGUCCCCCAGGGGUAAAGACCUUAGGGCAGAGCCUCUGGCCGCUCCCCCAGGCCCGAGGGCAGCCGUGGUUUCCCCUCCCUCCUUGGCUGCUGGAGCCUCUCUCUCCUGAACCCAGGGAAGACUCCGGGCCCUGCCCUCGCCCCACAGCUGCUGCCCCCUGGUGGCCACGUUCGUCAUGCAUUUUGGGGACAGGUACUGAGCAGUGCUGGGCUGCGGAGGCCACUUCCUGCUGCUGCCCCACAGAAGGGCGGCUUGAAUUUUCCCAGAUACUCCCCCCCAGAGCCCAGGGCAAGGCCUUGCCCUGGAAGGCCGGGGCAGGCUUGGCGAGCCGAAGGCUACACACUUUUCUGACGCUGUGCGGACUGGCAAACAUCCUUCGGGACACAGAGUAGCCCCCCUUCC